CCUCUAUAACUUGCUGUUCGGUGUGAGCCAAGGCUCCGUGUUGCAGGUCGUACCUUGACCUAUAAUGGUUUCCUUUUAUGAAUUAUUUCUUGGGAGGAGAGUUGUCUCAUUGGCACUCAUACCACAUCUUCCUAUAUCUAUCUAUAUCUAUACAUUUGUUUUUCAACAAAAGAAUACAUCACAAGAAUAUAAGUUUUGUAAGAAACGUGAGAAAUUGUGUUGGACUUGAAGAUAAGGCAAAG
rnacentral:lncRNA from 1 species